GUGAUCACUUCAGCAGCACAUAUACUAAAAUUGGAAGGAUAUAGAGAUUAGCAUGGCCCCUGCACAAAGAUAACAGGCAAAUUCAUGAAGCAGUCCAUAUUUUU